rnacentral:rRNA from 1 species
UACGUAGGGUGCGAGCGUUGUCCGGAAUUAUUGGGCGUAAAGAGCUCGUAGGCGGUGUGUCACGUCGGCCGUGAAAACCUGCAGCUUAACUGUGGGCGUGCGGUCGAUACGGGCAUCACUGGAGUUCGGCAGGGGAGACUGGAAUUCCUGGUGUAGCGGUGAAAUGCGUAGAUAUCGGGAGGAACACCGGUGGCGAAGGCGGGUCUCUGGGCAUUUCCUGACGCUGAGGCGCGAAAGCGUGGGGAGCAAACGGG